CGCCAACCGGAAAGAAAUCCUUCCAGUCGGCAAGGUACAUGUACCUUGUCAAACGGAGGGAAAACCUUCCAGUCAGCAAGGUACAUGAACCUUGCCGGCUGGAAGGUUUUCCUUCCAGCCGUCAAGCAUGUACCUUGCUGGCUGGAAGGAAACCCUUCCAGCCGGUG
rnacentral:miRNA from 1 species